rnacentral:rRNA from 1 species
GAUUAACGUUGGCAGUGCGCCUAACACAUGCAAGUCGAGCGAUAUAGCGGCAGACGAGAGAGUAAUAGUAAGGAACUUACCCCCGAGUGAAGGAUAGCCAGCCGAAAGGUUGGGUAAUCCUGCAUAAUAUCGAAAGAUCAAAGCCUUCGGGCGCUUGGGGAGAGGCCUUACUCCUAUCAGCUAGUUGGUGAGGUAAAGGCUCACCAAGGCGAUGACGGGUAGCUGGUCUGAGAGGAUGAUCAGCCUCGAUGGGACUGAGACACGGCCCAUACUCCUACGGGAGGCAGCAGUUGGGGAUUUUGCACAAUGGAGGAAACUCUGAUGCAGCGACACUGCGUGAAGGAUGAAGGUUUUCGGAUCGUAAACUUCUUUAGUGGGGAGUAAUCUUGAAAGUACCCACUGAAUAAGGACCGGCUAACUACGUGCCAGCAGCCGCGGUAAU